rnacentral:rRNA from 1 species
CCUACGGGAGUCAGCAGUGAGGAAUAUUGGUCCAUUGGCGCGAGCCUGAACCAGCCAAGUAGCGUGAAGGAUGACUGCCCUACGGGUUGUAGACUUCUUUUAUAAAGGAAUAAAGUGAGGCACGUGUGCCUUUUUGUAUGUACUUUAUGAAUAAGGAUCGGCUAACUCCGUGCCAGCAGCCGCGGUAAUACGGAGGAUCCGAGCGGUAUCCGGAUUUAUUGGUUUUAAAGGGAGCGUAGAUGGGUUGUUAAGGCAGUUGUUAAAGUUUGCCGCUCAACCGUAAAAUUGCAAUUGAUACUUGCAGUCUUGAGUACAGUUGAGGUAGGCGGAUUUCGUGGUGUAGC